rnacentral:rRNA from 1 species
UGGGGAAUCUUGGACAAUGGGCGAAAGCCUGAUCCAGCCAUGCCGCGUGUGUGAAGAAGGUCUUCGGAUUGUAAAGCACUUUAAGUUGGGAGGAAGGGCAGUUACCUAAUACGUGAUUGUUUUGACGUUACCGACAGAAUAAGCACCGGCUAACUCUGUGCCAGCAGCCGCGGUAAUACAGAGGGUGCAAGCGUUAAUCGGAAUUACUGGGCGUAAAGCGCGUGUAGGCGGGUCGUUAAGUUGGGGGUGAAAUCCCGAGGCUCAACCUCGGAACUGCCUUCAAAACUGGCGACCUGGACCUAAGUAGAGGCAAGUGGAAUUGCGAGUGUAGAGGUGAAAUUCGUAGAUAUUCGCAGGAACACCAGUGGCGAAGGCGACUUGCUGGACUUAUGGUGACGCUGAGACGCGAAAGCGUGGGGAGCAAACAGGAUUAGAUACCCGGGUAGUCCCUGAGCGGGCUGGCAAGGCGCAU